UAAUUUUGCCACUCGGGACGCUCUGCGCAUUGCCACUGAAUAAUAGGUUUACUUAAAUCCUUACAUCCCUGGUCCUUCUUCUUUCUGUAUUGCAUCGUGGUGAAUUCACAUUUCUCAGAAAUUUGACAACAAAACAAAACGAAGAUAUGUUGAGGCAAAAAAGAAGGCGCAGUUGGAAAAUGAAGUGAUUAGUACGAAGUAGCAGCGCAGGCACAUUUGGAAAAUUA